GGAUGUAAGGGCAACAUGGCUGUGACAUCUGUCACCCCGUUGAUCACCAGGGUUGAUUUGGCUGAUCUGGUUGUCCCCUUCCUCCCUCACAGCUCUAUGUGCGCCCCUCCCAAAGAUGCACACCCCACUGUAGAGGACAACCUUCUCUGAUAGAGGAGGACUGCUCAGUCAAGAGUAACCCUAGCUGUGCUCCCCUGCUAGAAUCUCCAAACAAACUCUCAAAGUCUAUUUGUAGGAGAACAUUGGGUAGUAAAGCUGUCAAGACUCCAGACACAUCCAAAUGAGAUGCUGCAUGUGUCAGACUGCCUUUAUUU
rnacentral:snRNA from 1 species